CAGGGUUUCACUAUGUUGGCUAGGCUGGUCUCAAAUUCCUGACCGUAAUUGAUCCGCCUGCCUUGCCUCCCAAAGUGCUGGGAGGUCUAUAGGUUUAAUGGAAUCUCAGUCAAAAGCCCAGCAAGCUAUGGAAAUGCAAAGAACCAGGUAUAAGUUGAGUAUCCCUUAUUCAAAAUGCUUGGGUCCAGAAAUGUUUUGAAGUUUGGAUAUUUUCAGAUUUGGGGAUAUUUGCAUAACAGAAUGGAAUAUCGUGGGGAUGGCACUCAAGUCUUAAACACAAAAUUCAUUUAUGUUUCACAUAUACCUUAUACACAUAGCAUGAAGGUAAUUUUAUACAAUAUUUUAAAUAAUUUUGUGCAUGAAGCAAAGUUUGUGUGCAUUGAACCAUUAGAAAGCAAAGGUGUCACUAUUCAGUCACUGAUGUGGCAUCAUGUUGUUGCUCAAAAAGUUUCAGAUUUUUGGAGCAUUUUGAAUAUUGAAUCUUCAUUUUAGGAAUGCUCAACCUGUAAACAACUUGAAAAAGAAUACCAAAGUUGAAGGAGUUAUACUAUUUGGUUUCAAGGUUUAUUAUAAGGUCAUAAUAGUCAAUGCAAUUUCAUUUUUGGCAUCAGGAGAGAUAAAUAAAUCAAGACGAUAGAAUAGUGAGUCCAGAAAUAGACCAAGACAUAAAUGGUCAACUGAUUUUUGACAAAGGUACCAGAACAGUUCAGUGGAGGAAAGAAUACUCUUUUUAAUAAAUGGUGCUGGAGUAAUUGGCUAUACAUGUAGAAAAAAUGAAUCUUAACUAUUACCUCACACCAUACACAAAAACUAACUUAAAAUGGAUCGUAGAUCUAAGUAUACAAGCUAAAACUGUACAACUCAAGAAGAAAACAAAGGAGAAAGUUAUAAAGACCUUGGGUUUGGCAAAGAUUCCUUGAAUACAAAAAGCAUAAACUCUAAAAGAAAAAAUAUCAACAAUUGGACUUCACUGAUAUCAUAAACUUUUGCUCUUCAAGAGUCACUGUUAAGAAAAUAAAAUACUGCAUGUUCUCACUUCUAAGUGGGAGCUAGCAUGGGCAAGCAUGGACAUGAAAAUGGGAACAAUAGACACUGAGGACUAACAGGGAGGGGAGAAAGGGAAGGAGCCAAGUGCUGAAAAACUACCUGUUGGGCACUGUGCUCACUGUCUGAGUGAGGGCAUCAUUCAUACCCCACACCUCAGCAUCAUACAAUAUAUCCAUGUAACCAACCUCAACAUGGACCUCUUGAAUCUAAAGUAAAAGUUGAUAUUACAAAAAAAAAAAAAAAAAAAGAAUCACUGUUAAAAUGAAAAGGCAAACCAUAGACUAGGAGAAUAUACUUUAUAUAUACAGCAAUGGACUUGUAUCUAGAAUGUAUAAAGAACACAUACAACUCAAUAAUAAGACAAACAACCCAAUGAAAAUAAAAAUGGACAAAAGUUCAAAUAGACACCAAAUUCAAAUCCACCAGACAAAGGAUGUGGAGAGCAAAUUAUGGCCAUAAAAAAAUUGUUCCACAUUAGUCAUUAGGGAAGGGCAAAUUAAAACUACAAUGAAAUGCCACAACAUGUAACUUGUAAAAUGGCUAAAAUUCAAAGUUUUACCAUAUUUAAUAGUUGGUAAAGAUAUGCAGCAAGUGGAAAUUCUAUUCACCAUUGAUGGGAAUGCAAAAUGGUACAACCACAUUUUAGAAAACAGUUUAGCAAUUUCUUAAAAAGGUAGAUAGAUACUUGACAUAUGUCUAAGUCUUUCCACUCCUAAGUAUUUACCCAAUGGAAAAAUAAAUCAUAUGUCCUAUGUAGACUUUUACAUAGAAGGUUAAUUAACAAUGGCCCUAAAUUGGAACAAAUCCCAUAAUGUUCACCAACAGGUGAACUUAUUCCUCCUAGCUGAAAUUUCUUAUUCCUUGACCAAUAUCUCCCCAGUCCCCCUCUCUCUCCAGCCCCUGGUAACCAACAUUCUACUCUCUGCUUCUCUAGGUUCAGUUUGUUUGUUUAGAUUCCACAUGUAAGUGAGAUCAGCCACAUUUAUUUAAAGUCACUUCUCCCUGAGGGUGUGGAAGUCUUUUCAGCCAUGUGCUUCCACUGCAGAGUCAGACUUCAGAAUCUCAACAUCCGAUUUUAUCCAUCAAAUUUCAAGUUCAAUAAUUUAAUGUAGGGUCUGACUCCAUUUUUGAUGUUUGACUGUUAACAGCUUUCAGGCCCCAUGACUUCCCUUUCCCUUUUAGCCCCACAUCUGGAAAAGUUGAUGAGAAAGCCUAUACAUGAUCUUCAUUGGCUCUAACAGGCAAGAACACAAGCCCCAGGCCCCACACAGAAACCGUCCUGUGAGCCCCAGGUCCUAAUCAACAUAAAACCCUAUGCCAGUCUUCUUUCCUUGCUCUCUCAGGCUGUUUUUGGACCAACUUGGGAGCCAGCUCAUUAUCCUCUUGGUGCAUGUGUAGUGGCAUCAGUUUCAGCAUGUCAAACAAAUUUGGGAACAAGGGAGGGGAGAGUCCAUCCCAUCUAUACAGAAUGACUAUGGCAAUUGGGUUCAAGAAGGUAUCUGGGCAUGGUUCCUUUUACUCACUACUUUCAGGAAAAUAAAUUGCUAGCAUAGGAUGGGGGAAGCAACGAAUGUGAAUACGGUAGGCAGUUUCUAAGGUGGUCCUCAAGAUUUUCCCCUCCUGACAUUCAUACAUUUCCCUCCACUUGAGCGUGGGCUGGAACUGGGACUUGCUUCGAAUGAGUAGAACAUGGCAAAAGUGAUGAGAUGUCACUUCCGAGAUUUGGUUACAAAAAUACCCUGACUUUCAUUUUGCUCGCCUUCACUUGCUCACUCUAAGGGAAGCCAGCUACUAAGCUGUGAGCUUCCAUAUGGGCGAGGCCUAACUUGGAACUUGAUUUUCCCCAUUGGAGUCUUCAGAGGAGAUGGUAGCUCAAGCCAAAACCCUGAUUGCAGUAUUAUGAGUACCCAUGAGCCAGAGGCACCAACAAGCCUGCUCUCAAACUCCUGACACAGCACAGAUAAUAAAUGUUUGUUGUCUUAAACCACUGAGUCUAGGGAUAAUUUUGUUACUCAGCAACAGAUAACCAAUACGAAGAGUGAGUUCCUGAGUAGGAGGAUUUCUGGAGAAUGAAAAUAAUUAUCAUUAAAGGAAAAAAGAGGGAAGAUUCAUGCCUUGGAGGAUAUUGGGAAGAGAAAGAAAGGGGCAUAAGCAAGUUUCAAGGAAUAAGCUGGAAGCAGGUCUCACAUUGACUAGACGAAUGUAGCCAGAGAUCUAAGUGGAGCAAAUGACUGCCACCAGUAACCAGGAAUCACUGGUGUCCCCUCAGACUGAGAAAUCCAGUGACCACAUCACUUUGGGAGGAAAGCUAUCUGUUUUGUCCACUGGCAUGAAUCUUUGGUUGAUCCUGUGGGAACACUAAGACAUGAAGCAAUUGCUCUGUUUCUACACGAGUGGAGUCCAUGAAAACAGCUUAAGCCAGUGCCCCUUCAUCAUCCACAAUCUCCUUUUACUAACAGUUUCACAGAGAGCAAUUUCACAUUAAUUGCAGCCUGGUCUUGAUUUCCUGUCACUGUUGCUUAUUGCCUAUAAGAAAUUUAUGUCUUAAAUGAGGUGAAGUUCAGUCCCCUGUUCCCUGUUUCAGUCCUAGCAAACCAUCAUUUUAUCUGACAACAUUUUUUUAAAGCAGAAUUUUCCUCACCAUCAUCUGUAGAGGGCUUCACCUUGCUAUUACCCUGGGAAGAGCAAGGGCAUGCAAUAGGAGCUCUCUCAAUUUCUUUCCUUCAGAUCUCUCUUCAUAAUUGUCAAUCAUUGCCUCCCUUUGCCCUGUUUCAGAAAGCAGCUCUCCUUUGUUGCAAGGUUGGCCCUUCCACUACAGCUCUUAGGCCAAUUCCUCGCUCUCUUUGCUAAGACAUCAGUCACCUCCACUCAGAUCUUCCUCUCCACUUGCUCCUUCCUCUUAGGCUGUAAACCUUUUCACCCAUAGAUAUAUUCCCCCACCACAGACGCCUCUUCCAGCUACAUCCUAUAUCUUUCUUCCCUUCAUCUGAAUUACUUCUUGACUUCUCAUCCGCUCUUUGACCCACAGCAAUUUGUUUUAUAUACCUACCAUUCUACUAAAUUGGAUUCAAAAUCACCACUGCAAGCAGGAUGGAUCCUGAGUAGCUGUCAGUUCUAAUAAGCUUACAGAUAUGCCCAUGAUUCCAUCAUUCUCCCAUUGAUCUUUUCACUGCCUGCUAUGUUCCAGGUGCCAUCCUACAUUUAUCAUAAAUGUGCCAUAGUUCAUAGAUGUGCCAGGAAGUAUAACUAUUCCAAGAAAACAUCAGUAAACAAGAAAGACAGAUCUCUGCCCUCUUGUAGCUUACAAUCUAGUGUGAGGAGACACACAAAAAGAAACAAACAAACAUCAUCAAGCAAGUAUAAAGUAUGUCAGCUAUGAGAAGUGUCACAGUAAAAAUGAAGUAGGAAAGAGAAUUAGACAAUGCAGUGGAAGUGGAAAAAUCAUGAGGCAGAAUUUUAGAGAGAGCCUCUAGACACAAUGGUUAGGAGAGAACAUUGCGGAGCCAGAGGAACAAGGUUUUUUAUCCCAUGUCUCUCAUUUUUUAACCUUGUGCCCUUAGGCAAGUCAUUUAACCUCUUGAUGCCUUCAUUUCCUCAUCUGUGGAAUGAGAAGGAGGUAAGAACCUAUCACAUAGAGCUGUUGUAAGGAUUAAAUGAAUUUAAUGCUGGUAAAGUAUUUAGAACCACGUCUGAGUUCACUGCAAGAGCCCAGUGAGUGUUAGCUAUGACUCUGCAAAAGCCUGUUUUGAAUCAAAAACUCCUGUGUGACCCUGGACAAAUGAUUUCACCUCCUAGAGCCUGAGUUUUCUCAUGGGCAAGAUGAACACAAUUAGUUUUAGUUCACAAGUUUCAUGCAAAGGUGAAAUGAGAUAAUAUCUAUAAAGCACUUUGCAAAUCAUUCACCCCAUAAUAAGCACCCAGGAAAAUGGAAGCUUUAAAAGAAAACAAGACAAAGGGACACACCUCCCUCUGUUCUUUCCAUUUGUCUGCAACUUGGUGAAUAUUUGUAUGAAGCCUCCAAUUCACCUUCAGACUCAGGAGACAGCACCGUCCAUAUAUCAAUGUGUACAGAAAUGAAAUAUGGGAACCACACCUGCAUCCAUAAGAAUGAAUUCCUCCCAAACCGAUAAUUUGGUAAAUUUCUCAUUUUCUUGUAAUGCCUAUAGUGCCAAAAGACCACAUUUAAAAAUGAUUGAUAUAGGGUUUAUCUUUUUCCUUUUUUGAGAUUUGUACUCAAGCCCUGCUAACCAAGGAUUUCGAAACAAUACUGACAAUUGUGGAUAUGGUUUAGUUGUGUCCCUACCCAAAUCUCAUCUUGAAUUGCUAUCCUCAUAAUCCCCACGUGUCUAGGGAGAGACCUAGUGGGAGGUGAUUGGAUCAUGGGGGCAGUUUCCCCCAUGCUGUUCUCAUGAUAGUGAAUGAGUUCUCACGAGAUCUGUUGGUUUUAUAAGGGGCUCUUCCCCCUUCACUCCUCACUCUUCUCUAUCCUGCUGCCAUGUAAGAAGAUCCUUGCUUUCCUUUUGCCUUUUGCCAUGAUUGUAAGUUUCCUGAGGCCUCCUCAGCCAUGUGGAACUGUGAGUCAAUUAAACCUCUUUCUUUGAUAAAUUACCCAGUCUCGGGUGUUUCUUUAUAGCAGUGUGAAAACAGACUAAUACAACAGUGCUUGACUCAAAAUAUAAGCUCUUGAAAAGCUUUUGUGUAAAUUAGGUUUUGUACAUCAUCUUAAAGGUACAAUGGUGGUUUCAAUAUAAAGAAUAUUGAGAGUGAAUCCUUAAGAAAAGCAAUGCAUUGUUGCUAGUUUGACCCAGUUUAUAUAUUUUAUCUGCUUUCAAUGUGUAGAUGUUCAAAUAUCCAGCUGAGAUAAAGUGGUUAUCUCUCUUGGGUGAAAGCCAGAUUUCUUUCUCCAGGAGAGUAUAACAUGAGAGACUGGUAAGAGUGGUGUUUCUCAGAGAGUGGGAAAAUGCAUUUGUUUUUAGCAGCAGAUGCAAAGCUUAGGAAAUUCAAUUUCCACAACCUCAUGAAAGCUGUUUGUGGAAGACUUUUUUGGCUGAAAUAGUUCCUAAGAAAUAUGAGUCUGCACUGAGCUAAUAAACAGUGACCUGGGAUGGCACAAAGUUCUCAGACUUCAGCACCCUGGCAAUAACCCACAUCAAUAACUUAGUCCUAAAUUCCCCCUUACUGUCUCAGCUUGCAAUUGGAAAUGACAAUGUGACUGGUAAUAUUUGACACUUGUAUCAAAGGAUCUAUGAUCUUUUUGCAUCAGAGAAAGCUUCAUGAAAAAUGGCAACUCACUGGUCAGAACUGUCAGCAACAUGUACAGAAACCUGAUUGAGAGGCAAAAUGAAAGAUGAGACCUGAUAUUUACCAAGUUCCAACAAGACAUGAAGAUAAUGAUGUGGAAAUGGAUGAACUGGGCACACAGGACCACCCAGACUCAUCCAUCCUUAAAAUGUGGGAUUUCAACUUCCAAGACAAAUCAACCAAGUUUCGUGGUUGAUUUUAAAAACAAUAUUUCCUGAAUUGCUACUUCACCAAUGUGGUGUAUUAAAUCAUAAUCACUGUCAAUGGCCAGAACCCCAAGCCUGGAAUAGCAAUGCCAGCUCCAGCCUGGGAGCACUGCCUUUGAAGGAUUUUAGGUUCUCAGGAGAUUUGGUUUCCCUGCAGUGUGGUGUUGGCUUCCAAACCAGGAGGCAGCUGGCAGUGCCACUGCUGCCCAGGAACUAGAAAUCCACCAUGAAAUCUGAGGGACUCUGCGGCAGAGGGUUUUAUUCUUUAUGGUGUCUUAAUAUUGAUCAAAAAACCCACUUCUUUUUGACAUGAUAAAGAAAACCCAUCCUUCCAGCAAAAGGGCUGAGUAGUAGAAGAAACAGAUCAAAAGACACGGUAAAAGGCAACUUCAGUUCUGUCCUCCCAGAGAGCCAGGGACCUGCUCUGAGCACCAAAAUCCUUCAUUUAUUCAUUCAAUAAAAUUUGUUGAGCAAGCUGGGUGCAGUGGCAUGCACCUGUAGUCCCAGUUAUUUGGUAUGCUAAGGCGAGAAGAUGGUUUAAGCCCAG
rnacentral:lncRNA from 1 species